ACGUCCUUAGUUCAGUCGGUAGAACGCAGG
rnacentral:tRNA from 1 species